UCUUUUCUUUUGUCUGGCGACCGGCGCACGGGUGAGUAACACGUAUCCAACCUGUCCUUUACUCGGGGAUAGCCUUUCGAAAGAAAGAUUAAUACCCGAUAGUAUAAUGAUUCCGCAUGGUUUCAUUAUUAAAGGAUUCCGGUAAAGGAUGGGGAUGUGUUCCAUUAGGUUGUUGGUGAGGUAACGGCUCACCAAGCCUUCGAUGGAUAGGGGUUCUGAGAGGAAGGUCCCCCACAUUGGAACUGAGACACGGUCCAA
rnacentral:rRNA from 1 species